ACAGCAGUCGCCGCGGUAAUACGGAGGGGGCUAGCGUUGUUCGGAAUUACUGGGCGUAAAGCGCACGUAGGCGGCUUGGUAAGUUAGAGGUGAAAGCCCGGAGCUCAACUCCGGAAUUGCCUUUAAGACUGCCGAGCUAGUAGGUGAGAGAGGUAAGUGGAAUUCCGAGUGUAGAGGUGAAAUUCGUAGAUAUUCGGAAGAACACCAGUAGCGAAGGCGGCUUACUGGCUCAUUCUAGACGCUGAGGUGCGAAAGCGUGGGGAGCAAACAGGAUUAGAUACCCGCGUAGUCCCUGUCUCUUAUAC
rnacentral:rRNA from 1 species